GGGGGAACCCUGACCGAGCAACGCCGCGUGAGUGAAGAAGGUUUUCGGAUCGUAAAGCUCUGUUGUUAAGGAAGAACGUGUGUGAGAGUGGAAAGUUCACACAGUGACGGUACUUAACCAGAAAGGGACGGCUAACUACGAGCCAGCAGCCGCGGUAAUACGUAGGUCCCGAGCGUUGUCCGGAUUUAUUGGGCGUUAAGCGAGCGCAGGCGGUUAGAUAAGUCUGAAGUGAAAGGCAGUGGCUCAACCAUUGUAGGCUUUGGAAACUGUUUAACUUGAGUGCAGAAGGGGAGAGUGGAAUUCCAUGUGUAGCGGUGAAAUGCGUAGAUAUAUGGAGGAACACCGGUGGCGAAAGCGGCUCUCUGGUCUGUAACUGACGCUGAGGCUCGAAAGCGUGGGGAGCGAACAGGAUUAGAUACCCUGGUAGUCCACGCCGUAAACGAUGAGUGCUAGGUGUUAGGUCCUUUCCGGGACUUAGUGCCGCAGCUAACGCAUUAAGCACUCCGCCUGGGGAGUACGACCGCAAGGUUGAAACUCAAAGGAAUUGACGGGGGCCCGCACAAGCGGUGGAGCAUGUGGUUUAAUUCGAAGCAACGCGAAGAACCUUACCAGGU
rnacentral:rRNA from 1 species